UACGGAGGAUGCAAGCGUUAUCCGGAAUGAUUGGGCGUAAAGGGUCCGCAGGUGGCAGUGUAAGUCUGCUGUCAAAGAAUGAGGCUUAACCUCAUCAAGGCAGUGGAAACUACACAGCUAGAGUACGGUCGGGGUAGAAGGAAUUCCUGGUGCAGCGGUGAAAUGCGUAGAGAUCAGGAAGAACACCGGUGGCGAAAGCGUUCUGCUAGACCUGUACUGACACUGAGGGACGAAAGCUAGGGGAGCGGAUGGG
rnacentral:rRNA from 1 species